rnacentral:misc_RNA from 1 species
GUGAAUCAUCAAAUUUUUGAACGCAAAUUGUGCUUCCUGGCAGCCCGGUAAGUAUGCCUGUUUCAGGGUCAGUAUUAAUAAAAAAUCGGUUUGUUUACAAAUUGUUACGGUUCCGGAGUUUUGGCUAUCUUAACAUUUUUGGUUAAGAGGCUUAUAAUUGACCUUUUUUGCGCAUUUUUAGACGUACAUAAAUUUUUUUUUAUUUGUCUAUUCUGAAUGCCAAAAUCUUAUUAUAUGCGAUCACAUCGUGUGGUUUCGUGUCCAUAAAAUUUUUAUUAUUUGACCUCAAAUCAGUUAGGAG